rnacentral:RNase_P_RNA from 1 species
AGGCGUGGCGAUGGUAAACCCCACUCGGAGCAAGACCAAAUAGGAAUCCGUCAGCUGUGGCCCGCAGUGGAUUCGGGUAGGUCGCUACAGGCAGGUGGUGACACCUGUCGCAGAUGAAUGAUCGUCCUCGACAGAACCCGGCUUAUCGACCGACUCUUUUU